rnacentral:lncRNA from 10 species
CUAAACAGUGCUAGUGAAACAGACAUUCGUGUGCACACGCGUGCGUGUGCUGUGCGUGCACAUGUGUGUAUUAUUCCACCUGCAAAAUGGAAAUUCUUAGAACACCUUUCAGUAUACAUUUCAAAUAAUAUCACAAUUAAUGACUGGAUUUCAGAAAAUGGCUUCUUUCCAGAUCAUUUCCACAUUCAGGGUAAAAAGUGUUCUUGAGCUUUCUGUGCCCUUGCAGGAGAUGAAGGCAUGCUUGUUCCCUAACAGCACAUUUUUGAGGGAAAUCCACAUUUGCAUCUCACUGUUGGCACCCACAUCUGGGAUGCCCCCACAGCUGCCCCGACAACCCAUCUCUGGGCUCUUGACUGCAGAGGCUCGGAAACGCCAUACCCUUGACCGCAGAGGCUCGGAAACGCCAUACCCUUGACCGCAGAGGCUCGGAAAUGCGAUACCCUUGACCGCAGAGGCUCGGAAAUGCCAUACCCUUGCUUGGCUGCCCUCCUGGUGCUGACGGUGCCUCCGAGAUGUGACCCCGCUCCAGCUGGUGAGUCUAUGGAGCACCUGCUCAGUGGCUUCUGAGCAGAGUCCGGCCUUCUCCAUACUGAUGACUGCUCUUCCUGGAGCCCGUGGCAGGUGGGGCUGCAAUGGCUGACCCACGGCCAGCUGAGAGUGAGAGCCAGCAUGCUCAGAUGCAUGACGCUGGCUUGGGUCCCAACGGGGCUGACCCCAACCCGGUGUGGACAACCUCUUCUGGCUCUCCUCUGCCCUGGUCCCAGUGCAGCUAACAGUGACCCAGCCAUGACAACCUCCUUUGCCCUGGUCCUCGUGUAGCUGACCCCAACCCAGUGUGGACAACCUCCUCUGGCUCUCCUCUGCCCUGGUCCCAGUGCAGCUGACCCUGACCCAGCCGGACCAACCACCUCCGGCUCUCGUCCACUUGGCUCUACCCGUCCUUUGCUAUAACCAGGACUGGGCAGGUUUGAAGGAUGUGCCACCAAAGGCUUCCCAAACAGAACACGAGGAGAAGGCAUCUUAAUAAGGCACCUCCCACGGCACUUCCAAGAAGUCUGUGAAAGAACAGAGCAAGUGUGACGGGCAGGGCUGUGAACCUCUGAGUGCUUCAGAUGUAAAAGUGUGGAAGACGUCGGGCUGUGAGUGUCACGCAGCAGAAAGGUGGAGGAGGCCUCUCAGGUCGGAAGUAACAUGGUGCGCAGAAGGCAGUUUGUAUGCACAGUGGAGCACAUGUGUUGAUGCCUGAAAGCCCACAUUGAGAUCCUGGCUCAACCUCUCGCCAACGGUGUCAUUUGGACAAAUCUCUUAAUCUAUGCAACGUACAAUGAGGACAGUAGUCACAGGACAUAACUUAUGGAGUUCUGUGAAUAUAAGGGAAUCUCCUCAUCUUUGCCACCGGUGGGGUACCCUCCCCACUCAUCCUGAGGUACCUGGGAGCAGACAGACAUGAAACACGCAUCAACUUUGUCACUGAGAACGGCAGCAUCAGCUCCUUUUUGGAAACAAAUCCUCUACAAUUCCAUAAAGAUACACCUCUUUACAGUCAUUUAUCAGUUAAAGUCAGAUGUAUAAAAAUGCAUAUCCUAAAAGGAAAUGAAUAUAAAAAUGUUGGUUUUUCUUCAUUAUAAGUGAUAGGUAAACACUAUGGAUAAAGUGAGAACAUGUGAGAAAAGUAAGAGAAGAAGGGACACUUGCAAUCUCAGCAGCUGGGACAAAGCACUGGCUAAAAUUUAGUUUUAUUUCCCUCUGGUAUAAGAGGAAAUUGAAAGUUGAGAAACUGAACAGAGAAGAAAAGGAAAAAAAAAAAAGAAAACAAGGGAGAAAAUGCCUAUCUUAUUGUAUACUUAUAUCUUAAUUGCAAGCAAAUAAAAGAGGACGGUUUUAAAUCUAGAAGCCAAGUUCUAUCAUACAUGCAAAUUCUCAGUACUCAGAGUUGCAAAAGGAUCUUGCCCAGCCACAUCACAUUCCACCUGACAUAUCACCAAGCACCUGUGCAUGGAAUAUGUCUGCCUGUUACAGAACUCAGCACCCGCUCAUGUUAUAUAUCUGGGUGGUACAGAGCUGAUCACCUGUGCGUGUUAUACGUCUGCCUCGUACAGAGCUGAGCACCCAUGCAUGUUAUAUGUCUGCCUGGUGCAGACCUGAGCAACCAUGAAUACUAUAUAUCUGUGUGGUAUGGAACUCAGCACCCACGCAUGUUAUAUGUCUGCCUGGUGCAGACCUGAGCAACCAUGAAUGUUACAUAUCUGUGUGGUAUGGAACUCAGCACCUGCCUGUGCAUGCAAUAUAUCUGUGUGGUACAGAGCUGACCACCUGUGCUUGUUAUAUGUCUGCCUGGUACAGAGCUGAGCAACUAUGCAUGUUAUGUGUCUGCCUGGUGCAGACUUGAGCAACCAUGAAUGUUAUAUAUCUGUGUGGUAUAGAACUCAGCACCCGUGCGUAUUAUAUAUCCGCAUGGUACCAAACUGAGCAACUGUGCAUGUUAUACAUCUGCCUGGCACAGAGGUGAGCACCUAUGCCUGUUAUAUAUCUGCCAGGCACAGAACUGGGCCCAUGUACUUGCUAUAUAUCUGCCUUGCACAGAGCUGAGAGCCCAUACAUAUAACCCCCCUGUGCUGUGUAUCUGACUGUUCGAGAACUGAACCCACGUGCAUUUUAUAUAUCACCCAUAACGGCCCCACAGGCUGCCUGCUGUGUGUUUGCGUUACGUGUCUCUCUGAGGGGAGGGUAAACCAUGAAGAUGACAGUGCAGGCCAGUAUUCUGUUUCCAUCCACCAUCUGUGAAACUGGAAACCCAACAUAGCCAUGAGCAAAAAGUCAUGGAACUGGAACACAAUGGUUUCCAUUGCGGGAGCUGCUCCCUGCAGGUCAGGACCUGGUUUCUUUUCCCCACGGUUCAUUAGCUUUGAACAGCUCCCCAGAGGCUCUGGGUAAAGUUCACUCCAUAGGUCAAACUCACGUUUACAAAGGCAAAAGAACACAGCAUGCAGUCGCUGAGUGUAGAGAACUCCAAAGCUUUCCACAGCAACUAGCUCAUCACCCACAGUCUGUAGUCAAGGAACUAACAUAGCAUGUUUUUCAUGUAGGAGAAGAGAAUCUCCCCAAAUGCUGUUUACAGAGAAAGAAAAUAAAAAAUUUCCAUAUUUAAAAGGUCUUCAGACAGGGUAUUUUUUUUCCUUGCUGUAAAAUACUUAGCUACUGAGGUAUACUACUUAUAUCAUCAGAAAAGGAACCUGCCAUCUUUCCAGUGUCCAUAUUGCCUGUGAGCCGAUCGACAGCACUACCAGCAGGGAUCUGCGUGGCUGGUGGUGAAGGCAGGUCUUCUGGCUGAAGGCCCCUGUAUUCAUUCCUAAAUGCCAUGCCACACCAGUGCUCCGGCAGAUCUGACAUCUUCCACAUUGCAGCCCAGGACAGGAGCCAAGGGAGAGGGAGAGGCAUGCUCAUUUCUGUCACUCACAUAUCCUGGACUUCCAGCCUGGACGAGCAGGAGCUCCCCUUACCAUGGACCCCGUGUGGCAAGGAGUCCUCAACACCACACAGUCCCGCAGCAACGAGGCGCGGACACCCGGACACUGCACGGUCCCCGCAGUAACGAGGCACGGACACCCCAACACCACACAGUCCCCCAGUAACGAGGCGCGGACACCCCAACACCACACAGUCCCCCAGUAACGAGGCGCGGACACCCCAACACCACACAGCCCCCCAGUAACGAGGCGCGGACACCCCAACACCACACAGCCCCCCAGUAAUGAGGCGCGGACACCCCAAAACCACACAGCCCCCCAGUAACGAGGCACGGACACCCCAACACCACACAGUCCCCCAGCAACGAGGCGCAGACACCCAACACCACACAGUCCCCCAGUAACGAGGCGCAGACACUCCAACACCAGUCCCCCAGUAACGAGGCGCAGACACCCCAACACCACACAGCCCCCCAGUAACGAGGCGCGGACACCCCAACACCACACAGUCCCCCAGCAAUGAGGCGCGGACACCCCAACACCACACAGUCCCCCAGCAACGAGGCGCGGACACCCAACACCACACAGUCCCCCAGUAACGAGGCGCGGACACCCCAAAACCACACAGCCCCCCAGCAACGAGGCGCGGACACCCCAACACCACACAGUCCCCCAGUAACGAGGCGCGGACACCCGGACACUGCACAGUCCCCGCAGUAACGAGGCACGGACACCCCAACACCACACAGUCCCCCAGUAACGAGGCGCGGACACCCCAACACCACACAGCCCCCCAGUAACGAGGCGCGGACACCCCAACACCACACAGCCCCCCAGUAACGAGGCGCGGACACCCAACACCACACAGUCCCCCAGUAACGAGGCGCAGACACCCCAACACCACACAGUCCCCCAGUAACGAGGCGCGGACACCCCAACACCACACAGCCCCCCAGUAAUGAGGCGCGGACACCCCAACACCACACAGUCCCCCAGCAACGAGGCGCGGACACCCCAACACCACACAGUCCCCGAGCAACGAGGCGCGGACACCCAACACCACACAGUCCACCAGCAACGAGGCACGGACACCCAACACCACACAGUCCCCCAGUAACGAGGCGCGGACACCCCAACACCACACAGUCCCCCAGUAACGAGGCGCCGACACCCCAACAACACACAGUCCCGCAGCAACGAGGCGCGGACACCCGAACUCCACACAGUCCCCCAGUAACGAGGCGCGGACACCCGAACACCACACAGUCCCCCAGCAACGAGGCGCGGACACCCCAACACCACACAGUCCCCCAGUAACGAGGCGCGGACACCCCAACACCACACAGUCCCCCAGUAACGAGGCGCCGACACCCAACACCACACAGUCCCCCAGUAACGAGGCGCAGACACCCCAACACCACACAGUCCCCCAGUAACGAGGUGCAGACACCCCAACACCACACAGUCCCCCAGUAACGAGGCGCGGACACCCCAACACCACACAGUCCCCCAGUAACGAGGCGCGGACACCCAACACCACACAGUCCCCCAGUAACGAGGCGCGGACACCCCAACACCACACAGUCCCCCAGUAACGAGGCGCGGACACCCAACACCACACAGUCCCCCAGUAACGAGGCGCCGACACCCCAACACCACACAGUCCCGCAGCAACGAGGCGCGGACACCCCAACACCACACAGUCCCGCAGCAACGAGGCGCGGACACCCCAACUCCACACAGUCCCCCAGUAACGAGGCGCGGACACCCAACACCACACAGUCCCCCAGUAACGAGGCGCGGACACCCAACACCACACAGUCCCCCAGUAACGAGGUGCAGACACCCCAACACCACACAGUCCCCCAGUAACGAGGCGCGGACACCCCAACACCACACAGUCCCCCAGAAACGAGGCGCGGACACCCCAACACCACACAGUCCCCCAGUAACGAGGCGCGGACACCCAACACCACAGUCCCGCAGGCCCCUGUGGGUCACGGUGCAGGUGGAUCACAGCUGUAGCACCCCCAAGGUGGCCCAGGCACACGGCAGCUCACAGUGACACCCUAGCACCACGCACACUAGAAGAUCCAGAUGCUGUGAUGAGGAGAGGGUUGGACAGGAUGGGAAGUUCCAGAUUCUCCCUCCACCCAGAUUCCAAGAGGCCCAAAGGCUCAGGACAAGGAUCCUGAACUGUGACCGUGAGCUGGACAGGCGGUGUCUGUGGUGCUCUCCAGCCGGGUUCUUCUAAAGCCUUUAUGACCUGGUGCCUUGUGCCCAGGUCUGCACGUGUUCAAAGAGGAAUACAGACCGCGCUGAAAGGGAAUUGGAGGUAUUGUAUGCAUCUCUUCUCACACUGCUAAUAAAGACAUACCCCAGACUGGGCAAUUUAUAAAGGAAAGAGGUUUAACUGACUCAGUUCCACGUGGCUGGGGAGGCCUCGCAGUCAUGGCAGAAGGCGAAUGAGGAGCAAAGUCAUGUCUUACAUGGUGGCAGGCAAGAGAGUGUGUGCAGGGGAACUCCCUUUUAAAAAACCAUCAGAUCUCAUAAGACUUAGUCACCAUCAUGAAAACAGCACAGGAAAGACCCACCCCAUGAUUCAGUCACCUCCUACUGGGUCCCUCUCAUGACACAUGAGGAUUAUGGGAGCUGCCAGGCAAAACGAGAUUUCGG